rnacentral:rRNA from 1 species
AUUGAACGCUGGCGGCAGGCCUAACACAUGCAAGUCGAGCGGAGCGGCGGACGGGUGAGUAAUGCCUAGGAAUCUGCCUGGUAGUGGGGGAUAACGUCCGGAAACGGGCGCUAAUACCGCUUACUAUCAGAUGAGCCUAGGUCGGAUUAGCUUGUUGGUGGGGUAAAGGCCUACCAAGGCGACGAACCGUAACUGGUCUGAGAGGAUGAUCAGUCACACUGGAACUGAGACACGGUCCAGACUCCUACGGGAGGCAGCAGUGGGGAAUAUUGGACAAUGGGCGAAAGCCUGAUCCAGCCAUGCCGCGUGUAUGAAGAAGGCCUUCGGGUUGUAAAGUACUUUCAGUCGGGAGGCGUUACCGACAGAAGAAGCACCGGCUAACUCCGUGCCAGCAGCCGCGGUAAUUC